rnacentral:snRNA from 1 species
GGAUGUGAGGGCGAUCUGGCUGCGACAUCUGUCACCCCAUUGAUCGCCAGGGUUGAUUCAGCUGAUCUGGCUGGCUAGGCCGGUGUUCCCUUCCUCCCUCACCGCUCCAUGUGCGUCCCUCCCGAAGCUGCGCGCUCGGUGGAAGAGGACGACCAUCCCAGAUAGAAGGAGUGUACCGUUCUUCAGUCAAGGGUAUACAAUAGCUGCGCUCCCCUGCUAGAACCUCCAAACAAGCUCAAGGUCCAUUCAGUAGAAUCAAAAGGAAAACCUUUUCUUCUUCUGUUUGCAACCAGAAAGCAUUCAGA